GUUGCGUCGUCAAACGACUCCACCACUGUCAAACUCGUCGACACACAAAAAAAGACAAGUAUUUUUUAAAUAUUUGUAUUUCUCUGAAAUGUAAGUUGAAUCUUCAGAUUCAACUACAUACAUAUGUACAUAUAAAAUUGUAAUAUAAGAUAUGCCGGGUCGUUGAUGCUGAGGAAUGUCAAGUCAGCACAACGGCUUCAGGUAAAUUUAGGAAAUAAGAUUUUUGGUAAAGAAUAAAAUGAUGAUUAAUAAACUGGACGGCAAGCCGCUCAGUACGGUAAA